UUAUGCUAUACUUGUUAUCUACUACUUUUGUAGGCAAAUAUAGUACUUUUUACUUCUCUACAUGUAUUUGACAACUGUAGUUACUUCAGAUUACAAAUGAAGAUGUUUG